rnacentral:lncRNA from 1 species
GAUCUCUGCUAUUGUUUGUUAGUGAAGGGGCUAUUCAUUCAUAAAGCUGGACCCACCCAACCGAACAAAGAGACCCUUGGUGGCUGUUCAGGUGGACUCUAAGCCAAGAAAAAGGAAUUGCUUCAUUUCCUCAAGACUAAACUUUUGAUCAGCGCUGUGCGGUCAGGCUAAGAACUUAGAUGGAAUUUUAAACAAGGCAUUGACGGCAUUUCGGAAGCCACCAUCAAACAUCCUCCAAUUAAGGAAGCAACGUAACAAGGACUGGCAGCACAGUAGGUGUGUUCCCACCAGCAUCACCACACCCACGUGAUCUCCUUCUGCUCCUGACAAACAGGCCUUAUUGCUAUUCCUUAAACAAGCUAAACAUGCAUCAGAGGCAGUGAAAGGAUGGUUACAUAACAGAAGAUCAAUCAAACAACAAAAUAUAUUAAUGAUGAUGGAUGGGUGCCAGGUUCCUCAUUGUCAGAGAAGAGAGUUACAGAUACAUGAAGGAAGAAAAGUGGAAUGAACAUUCUAUGUUGGAUUGAAGUUAGAGAUAUAAGUAUGAAUCCCUGGAUUUCAGUAUGUAUAAAAAUAAAUGUAGACAUAACAUACAUGCAUGUCUUAAUUCUGGCCUGGAAUGGCAAUUCCCCAGUGCUAAUGAGUACACCAAGUGUCCAGAAGUUGGCUCUUAAAUACUAUUCUCCACUAAAAAAUCAUCAGGACUACUUAUAAAAAUGGCUGAUUCCAGGGUGGUACAGGGAGGGUACAAGAUCACCCUGGAACAUUUUCUUGUGCCACUGAGAAAGAAAAUACUUAAAAAAUGAUGGAGGUAUGUCAAAGGGACACAGAAGCCAAUCUGAAGGAAGUUUCCAUUGGCCCCAAAUGGGGACUAUUUUAACAAGAAAAUAAACACUGCUUGGAACAUAAAUUAAUAAACUGAAUUUUGGUGAAACUUUAUAUAGUUUCAAAGUACCACUUUACAAAAUACUUAUUAAUUAUAAAGGGAAAAAGAGUAACUGUAAAGUGGAGAAACCUGGCAGACAUCACGUUAAUCAAGUAAUCAGAGUUAAAUGGAACAAAUCUAAGUUCUCUGCCCUCUGAUAGGAUGAGACGGGAAGAACAAAGCAUUACUUCCUGACAAGGAUUCAGUACCUGAACUCAUGAGGAUCCCUCAGACAAAUCCAAAUUGAAGAACAUUCUACAAAAUAACUUGCCAGUAAUUCUCAAAAAUAUCAAGGUCUUGGAGGUCAAGAAAGACUGAGGAAUUGUUUGGUACUGAAGGAGUCUAAGGAGAUGUUACAAGUAAAUUUAGCAGGUGAUUCUAUGCUGCUUCCAUUGUCUGUAAAGGAGAUUUUAAGUGUUAAUUUUCUGAUUUUGAUGGUUGUACUGUGGUUAUAAAUUCAUAAUCUAUUCCAAGUUAUGGGGCAAGUUAGCAACUUGACUCUCAAAUGAUAUAAAGAAAAUUUCUUUGUACUGGAUUUGCAACUUUUCUCUGAGUUUCAGAUGGUAUCAGAAUAAAAUGAUGGAUACAAAGAAAAAGAAUACAACUCUUAUAAUUCUGUAGGUCAGGUAUUCAAGUGGGACUCAGCUGAGCAGUUUUUGUGCUCUGUGUAGCAAAGGUUUGGUCACUCACUCGGCUGCAUUUAGCAAGAUGCUGAGCUAGAAGUUCCAAGAAGUCUUCACUCGCUGUCUGGCUCCUCUCUGCUCCUCCAUGUGUACCACCCUCUUCCCCUGCAUGGAGUGUCAUCAUUCAGGAGUCCAGCCCAAGAUUCUUUUGGUCUGAUGGCUGGAUUUCCAGAGCCACAGAGAAGACAGCCAGGACUCUUAGUCUUUUCACCUGGAUGGUGGUUACACAGGAGUGCUCGCUUUGUAAAAAAUUAAUCAGGCCAUAUAUUUAAGCUUUUGUGUACCUUAUAGCAUAUAAAAUACUUCAAUAAAAAAAGUAAAAAUAAAUUAUAGUUACUGUUUUUCUAAUUGCACAUCCUCCUUUUUCACUUUUCUACUUAACACCAUGUAAUGGGGCAGAUUCUUCCUCGGAUGAAGCCAAGAUGGUAACAUAAGCAUGGGCAUUUGAUCACCUCCCUAUCCAACCCCCUACAGACACAGCCUAGGCAAAUAUAAAAUGGGUAAGUUUUGACUUAUUCUAGAAAAUAA